CUCUACGGCCAUGUCACCCUGAGCAAGCCCAAUCUCGUCUGAUCUCCGAAGCCAAACAGGGUUGGGCCUGGUUAGUACUUAGAUGGGAGACCACCUAGGAAGAUCAGGUACUGUAGGCA
rnacentral:rRNA from 1 species